rnacentral:snoRNA from 1 species
CCUCUCCCAGGAGCGCACCUGGAGUGUUUCCAGUACUCUACCAGUCUUGCCUAAGAGAAGGAGAGUCAAGCAGAGGCCUGCCCAUUCCACUCCUAGCUUGAGCAGUGGCUAGUGAGAGGAAGGCAAUCUGCUACAAGU